rnacentral:rRNA from 1 species
UUCCACAUGAUCGCAUGUGAUUGUGGGAAAGAUUCUAUCGGCGUGGGAUGGGGUCGCGUCCUAUCAGCUUGUUGGUGAGGUAACGGCUCACCAAGGCUUCGACGGGUAGCCGGCCUGAGAGGGCGACCGGCCACAUUGGGACUGAGAUACGGCCCAGACUCCUACGGGAGGCAGCAGUGGGGAAUAUUGCACAAUGGGCGCAAGCCUGAUGCAGCGACGCCGCGUGAGGGAUGGAGGCCUUCGGGUUGUAAACCUCUUUUGUUUGGGAGCAAGCCUUCGGGUGAGUGUACCUUUCGAAUAAGCGCCGGCUAACUACGUGCCAGCAGCCGCGGUAAUACGUAGGGCGCAAGCGUUAUCCGGAUUUAUUGGGCGUAAAGGGCUCGUAGGCGGCUCGUCGCGUCCGGUGUGAAAGUCCAUCGCUUAACGGUGGAUCUGCGCCGGGUACGGGCGG